rnacentral:lncRNA from 1 species
GGUCCUUAUCUCUGGUUUGGCUUUCACAGUGAAGCCAAACCAGGACAGCUUGUUACACAGAGUCUGGAAAGCAGCCCUUCACGUUGGGAUUCUGGAAUUGGGUCACUGACGAGUCAGAUUUCAAUAAGGAAAACAUACUUGAAAAUCAUGCUGACCAACUAUAUUGGUGACAUUAGGCUAAUUUAACAUGAUAGAAAAGAAAUUCCAAGUACUGUUCUUUGCAUUAUGGGUAACUGUGUCUGCUGUGCAUUGGAGUAAAGUCGAAGAUUUGAAAAUGACUUUGGAACUCUCUCAAGAAAUCCCUUAUCCAAGAAAUACAGGAUAAAUAGCCAUGUGGAGAUGAUCAACAUCAGGAGUAUGGUUGUACAACCAGAGCCAAUGAAUAAACUUUUAGGUAUUCCUAGGUUUCUUUUUCAAUAAUAUAAAUAUAUUUUAAAUAA